UUUUUUUGUUUCCUUUCCUCUCUCUCUGCGCAGUCUUUGUCUCGGGAGCUAAGGGGAGUAGAGAUGGUUUGGCGGCGGUGGGUAGCGGAGUAGAGGGAGGAGGCUGGGUGGAGCGGCGGCUGGGAGGGAGAGCGGAGGAGGGUGGAACGUCGAGGCCUCCGACGGCCUAGUUGGUGUAGGGGGUACGCGGGUAGGGAGAGCGCAGGGUAGAGAGUGAGAAGUUUGUCGAGGAGCGACGCGGUGGACGUCCGACUAAGUCCGCUGCAGGCCUCUUAGGGUACUGGCACUUCGUGUCGGGUUCCAGGGGACCGUGGCGCCACGAAAGGGUAGGCCGAUCUAGGCCGCGAGCGUCGGUGGUCUCGGGUGGGCGCUGGGAGGGGGGUACCGAUCCCAAAGUCCGCAGCCGAGGCCGCGGCCACCGGUACAGUAGGAGGAGAACAGGCCACUCACAUAGGGGAGGGAACGAAGCAGAUAGAGAGAGAGGAGCAACGAGGGAUAGAAGAGAAGAGGACAUCUGCACGUACCUCCUUAGCGAUCACCUGUCGGAACGACGACGAGUCCUGUUUCGUCGGUACCUCGAAGGAGGAGGAGCAGGACGAUACCGAAGUCGCUUUAUCCUUCAGGUCGCUGCUGUCAAAUUUCAUCUAUCCCUCGUUGUUCCGAUGGUACGGCAACAUGCCACCGGACUAUCCCUCCACUAAUUAUCGAGUUAAAUGUCGACUAAAAGGUAGAGUCAGGUACGAUCAGCUUCAUUAAUUAAUCAACUAAAAACGUGUAUGUCCUAAACUCUUGAAAUACAGUAAAGCAUGCAUAUGGGUGGUCUUGAGAUCAAUUGAAGGACAAUAUAAAAUAUAUAGACUCAAAGUCGUAACUAUAUUCGAUACUACGACUCUGUAAUGUAUUACAAGGUAUUACACUACAAAUCGUGUAGUCGAAGGGUUGAAAGAACUUUGUUACACAUUGCGACACGUAUUGAAAAUGAACCAAAUAAACCAUCAGUCUGAUGUUAGGAUGACUGUUACACGUUCAAUACGAUUAUCGUUACUCAUGAACUAUACAUGUCAAAGUACAAAUGUAGUCUGACUAACUACUCCAAAGUUAUAUUUUACCUUGUAAGUGUAUCUUACAAGGAUGUUAGUAAUAAUACCCUCGUUAUAAGACUUGUAAACAAAGAUUGUCGUACAUAUAGCAAGGAGACGCCAAAGUAAUAAACCUAAAGUCUCGUCGGUGAAUGACUUUCGUAUUAUUCGAUUAAUUCGAUGAAAGGUCUUAUAUGCUCUAACAUUAGGACUGAUUACCACACACCAAGGCUUCGUCAGGAAUUAAAACAAGGUUUUAACCGCAAAAGGGUGGGAAAAGUACAAUACUUUGUUAUUUUCCACGCACGUGUUACGAAAAACUUAAUGCAAUCGACGUACAGAAAACGUUUAACAUGUGUGGGGUUAAUUUCUUAACAACACUGAUCAGUACCAGUGACGUAUAUAUGGAACGACACACUUUUCAAACAUCGAAGUCUUUUUGACAUUCGUACAGAGAGGUAGCAAAACAUUGCUAAAGUAUAAAUCCAGAAAGACCGACAGAUAUAUAUGACGUAUCCGUCACUAAAACAGGACUGAGUAAAUAAAAAUGGGUUUCUGCUUAAUGGUACAAUUGAUCGUACUACACAACUUAUUUAAUUAAUCCGGGAAAUGGUGUUGACCACACAUUGAUUAUAAAUUUAAUACAAAUGUUAGUGUUUGAUUUUCAGAUAAACAUGAGACUAUAUAAAAUGAGUACGAACCUGGUCCUAGAGUACUCCUCCACCUCUUCCCUGCGGUUGUUAACCACGUCCAAGCACGACGAGGUUGUCUAAAGCGUGGCGUUCGACAUGUUUUACACAUAGAAAGAGGGUAAACUAUACAAGUUGUAACCUUCGUUAGUUUCGUUUACCAUUGUGAAUGAAAGAUGGUAUGUGAUUCUGCGAGUAUAAUCCGAGUAUAUCAAAUUCAUACAUUGGACUUGGGGAGUUUCUUUUCCAUUGUUUUGAUAAUGAUUUCCCAGUUACUAGUGGAACUCCAUUUAAGACUUACGUAAAGGUAUACGAUACAUAUGAUCAUUAAAAAAUACAUGUUACUUCUAACCGGAAGUGUUAAACAUGCACUGAUUAUUGGACGGAGACAGUGAUCGACGUACUACAGUUUAGUAACACACAAUUAUCAAGUAAAACAAUAAAAGAAACAUCUAAGUCUUAUAUAUACCUACUAAUAUACCCACACACCGUUCAUAUGACGUUACUACUACUAGACCAAGUACUACUACUACUACUAGGCCAAGUACUACUACUACUACCUACGGAAGACAAAACCAAUUCAACAUCCCUACAACGAGGACAACCUACUACAGGGAGCCAAUUCAACAUCCCUAUAGUUGUUUUAUAAAUCUAAUACGUAGUGUAACCCUACUACAAGGAGUACAUUAUAGGUGAUAACAUUAGGUUGUUAAAUUAUGUUAUAUACUAAAGAAGGAGAG
rnacentral:rRNA from 1 species